rnacentral:rRNA from 1 species
GAUGAACGCUGGCGGCGUGCCUAAUACAUGCAAGUCGAGCGAACAGACGAGGAGCUUGCUCCUCUGACGUUAGCGGCGGACGGGUGAGUAACACGUGGAUAACCUACCUAUAAGACUGGGAUAACUUCGGGAAACCGGAGCUAAUACCGGAUAACAUGUUGAACCGCAUGGUUCAACAGUGAAAGACGGUCUUGCUGUCACUUAUAGAUGGAUCCGCGCCGCAUUAGCUAGUUGGUGAGGUAACGGCUUACCAAGGCAACGAUGCGUAGCCGACCUGAGAGGGUGAUCGGCCACACUGGAACUGAGACACGGUCCAGACUCCUACGGGAGGCAGCAGUAGGGAAUCUUCCGCAAUGGGCGAAAUCCUGACGGAGCAACGCCGCGUGAGUGAAGAAGGUCUUCGGAUCGUAAAACUCUGUUAUUAGGGAAGAACAAAUGUGUAAGUAACUAUGCACGUCUUGACGGUACCUAAUCAGAAAGCCACGGCUAACUACGUG